UUGCAUCGCAUCAAGUUUUGCGUGGCAUCAGCGCCUUGGAACUACCGUUUUGAGGGGGACAUUCCUGGGGAAAUGUUGUCUUGAUAAACUGCGGUAGAUUUUCUUCCUGGUGGGGAUUUCAGAGACCACGGAAAGGCGGGAGCUUCUGGUGGCUCCUGCACACACACUCGACUUCAUGAAAGAGGAACGAAACCCGUCAACGAAGAUGUACUACUUCUCUUUCCUCCAGCCUGUUCACUUUGCAGGGAGAACCUCAAGAGCUCUCCGAGGCUUCGUUUUAAGGGAUGCAUUCUUUUCUGCGAAUAGCAGGCUGGCGAUUCUCUCCUCUUCGCGGCUCUACAGCCGGACGUAGCUGACGGUGGUGCAGAGCCGAGGGGGCUGGCCGCGUGCUGGGACUUUGCUGCUGCAGGCGUGCUUUGAGGAUGAACAGCUUGGUCACCUCGUGUUCCAUGAUGCUCUAGCCAUCAGAUUCCUCUCUCAGGCAUCAGGAGGAAGACAGGGUGUUGGGGAAAAGUGUCCCAAGCAUCUUUCUGCUCCAAGACCUUGGCAUCCAUCUUCAAGACCACCUCAUGAUCCAAAAUGGCUACUUUAGCUCUGUGCAUCAUAUCCUUAUUCCAAGCCACAGAAGGAUAAAACAGGAACUAAGGGACUCCCUCAGGCAGCUGUGGGCUGAUAAAGGUUAAACAACAGACUCUCUAAGCAGUGUUUGCUGGUCAUCAGUGUGAAUACUCCCACCAUAGCUGGUUUCAUCAGUCUUGUCUGAAUGUUGACUUGGAAAGAGAUGCACACAAGGAGUCUCUUGAAUCUGAGGAUUCAGUGAUCUCAUCAGCCAGACUGCAGCCUGCACCCUGGAGGGGAAGGUAGAAACUCCAUCUUCUUGGAGUUUGGUUUGCAUGGUCUGUCUGGGUUGAAUUGUGUCCCCCACAAAAGACACGUUAAUUUCCUAACCUCUAGGAUCUCAGAAUGUUAUCUUAUUUGGAAAUGGGGUCAUUGUAAAGGUGAAUAGUUAAGAUGAGAUCAUACUAGAGUAGGGUGGGCCUCGAAUCCAAUAUGAGUGGUGUCCUUACAAAGACGACAGUCAUGUAAAGACACAGGGACACAGGGAGAAGAUUAUGUGAAGAUAGAAGCAGACAUUGGAGUGAUGCAUUUAUUGGCUGAGGAACUCCUGAGGUUACUAGAAACUGGAAGAAUCAAGGAUGGAUUGUCUUCUAGGAGUUUCAGAGGGAACAUGACCCUGCCGACACCUUGAUUUUAGGCUUCCAACCUCCAGAAC